AUACGGAGGAUCCGAGCGUUAUCCGGAUUUAUUGGGUUUAAAGGGUGCGUAGGUGGUUUGAUAAGUCAGCGGUGAAAGUUUGCAGCUUAACUGUAAAAAUGCCGUUGAAACUGUCGGACUUGAGUGUAAAUGAGGUAGGCGGAAUGCGUGGUGUAGCGGUGAAAUGCAUAGAUAUCACGCAGAACUCCGAUUGCGAAGGCAGCUUACUAAGCUACAACUGACACUGAAGCACGAAAGCGUGGGGAUCAAACAGGAUUAGAUACCCUGGUAGUCCACACUGUAAACGAUGAUAACUCGCUGUCGGCGAUACAUAGUCGGUGGCCAAGCGAAAGCGAUAAGUUAUCCACCUGGGGAGUACGACCGCAAGGUUGAAACUCAAAGGAAUUGACGGGG
rnacentral:rRNA from 1 species